AGCAUGGGGGGUGCAUCACAGCCUUGAC
rnacentral:piRNA from 1 species